GAAAUGCGAUAAGUAAUGUGAAUUGCAGAAUUCCGUGAAUCAUCGAAUCUUUGAACGCACAUUGCGCCCCCUGGCAUUCCGGGGGGCACGCCUGUCCGAGCGUCAUUGCGACCCCCUCAAGCGCGGCUUGUGCGAUGGGCGCCCGUCCCCGCGGUCCCCGGCUGGGGGCGCGGGGACGCGCCCGAAAGGCAGCGGCGGCGCCGACCACGGUCUGGCCGAGUGCAUGGGGCUCAGUCACGCGCUCGCGCCCACGAUCGGGGCGCCUGCCGGGAUCCUCUUCCCCCCAUUCUCUCCAGUUGACCUCGGAUCAGGCGGGGAUACCCGCUGAACUUAA
rnacentral:misc_RNA from 1 species